AUAUGCCAUUGGUAUCUGAUGCUCAGUCUUGAUGUCGGUGGCUGGGCAUCUCGUUAGAAUGGCAGAGAGGGAAGAACAGGUCUUGCGACACUGGUUGCUCUACUUCUAGUGAGCUUCCUGUUACUUAUACCCUGCUUACAUAC
rfam:Musa acuminata subsp. malaccensis Doubled-haploid Pahang (DH-Pahang) genomic chromosome, chr2